rnacentral:rRNA from 1 species
GAUCGAGUUGUAAUUUGAAGAAGCGUUUUCUGCGUAUUUGAUCAGCCUAAGUCCUAUUGAAUGAGGCAUCACGGAGGGUGAUAAUCCCGUCCGGUUGAUCAUUUGCGUUUUACGAUACGCUUUCUAAGAGUCAAGUUGUUUGGGAUUGCAGCUUAAAAUGGGAGGUAAAUUUCUUCCUAAGGCUAAAGAACGGCGAGAGACCGAUAGCGAACAAGUACC